rnacentral:rRNA from 1 species
GACGAACGUUGGCGGCGUGCUUAAUACAUGCAAGUCAACUGAAGCAGUGGUAGCAAUAUCGCUGUGGAGGUGGCGCACGGGUGAGUAACACGUAGGUAAUCUGCCUUCAGGUCUGGCAUAACUCCGGGAAACCGGGGCUAAUAGCAGAUGAUGCAGCGGCUCGACAUCGAGACAGUUGUUAAAGCUAUGGCGCCUGAAGAUGAGCCUGCGUCUGAUUAGCUGGUUGGCGGGGUAACGGCCCACCAAGGCAACGAUCAGUAGCUGGUCUGAGAGGAUGAUCAGCCACACUGGAACUGAGACACGGUCCAGACUCCUACGGGAGGCAGCAGUAAGGAAUAUUGCUCAAUGGGAGAAAUCCUGAAGCAGCAACGCCGCGUGAGGGACGAAGGGCUUUUGCUUGUAAACCUCUGUAGUGAGAGAAAAAAAUCCCAAUCUUUGGGACAUGAUGGUAUCUCAAAAGUAAGCCCCGGCUAACUACGUG